CCCUCCCUAUUUUUCUUCAAAUCAAUUUGCUUGGCUAGGUGACUACAGUAGUACAAUGGAUUUGGUAUAUGGCUAUGACUAAUAUUGUUGUGUUAGUUGGUAUGGUGGUGGUGGUAGUAAUGAAAAUUUUUUUAAGUAAUCAUCUCAAUAAAUUAAAUUAGUUCAAAAUUUAAGAUGAUUAAUUUAAUUAAUUUAAUUUAAAGUAAACU
rnacentral:lncRNA from 1 species